AUUGAACGCUGGCGGCAUGCUUUACACAUGCAAGUCGAACGGUAACAGGCCUUCGGGUGCUGACGAGUGGCGAACGGGUGAGUAAUGCAUCGGAACGUGCCCAAUCGUGGGGGAUAACGUAGCGAAAGUUACGCUAAUACCGCAUAAGCCCUGAGGGGGAAAGUGGGGGACCGCAAGGCCUCACGCGAAUGGAGCGGCCGAUGUCAGAUUAGCUAGUUGGUGGGGUAAAGGCCCACCAAGGCGACGAUCUGUAGCGGGUCUGAGAGGAUGAUCCGCCACACUGGGACUGAGACACGGCCCAGACUCCUACGGGAGGCAGCAGUGGGGAAUAUUGGACAAUGGGCGCAAGCCUGAUCCAGCAAUGCCGCGUGUGUGAUGAAGGCCUCGGUUGUAAGACC
rnacentral:rRNA from 1 species